rnacentral:rRNA from 1 species
UACGUAGGGUGCAAGCGUUGUCCGGAAUUAUUGGGCGUAAAGAGCUCGUAGGCGGUUUGUCGCGUCUGGUGUGAAAAUCCAGGGCUUAACCCUGGACCUGCAUCGGGUACGGGCAGACCAGAGUGCGGUAGGGGAGAUCGGAAUUCCUGGUGUAGCGGUGAAAUGCGCAGAUAUCAGGAGGAACACCGGUGGCGAAGGCGGGUCUUUGGGCAGUAACUGACGCUGAGGAGCGAAAGCGUGGGGAGCGAACAGG